rnacentral:lncRNA from 1 species
GACAGAAAAUGCAUUUAUUUAAAUUGCUGUACAAUGGAAAUCUCAAUCGCUUUCAAAAGCCAGCUGAGGGAGAAGUGACUCACAUAAGAUGCAUACAGGAAGCCUUUUUGUAGUUUUCAGCUCUGAAUUUCUUUUUCUCUGAAUACAACGCCACUUGUGUGAGUGCAGUUAUCUGCUGAGUGGCGGCAGUGUGUUUGGCAGUACAUAAACAUGGAGAAAGACAUGGUUCCUGCUCUGAGGAACUUACAACCUAAGAUAUGACAUGGACAAUACUAUUCCAACACAUAAUGAUCAACUGAAAUACCAGCAAUCAGAUAUAAGAAGAUCCAUUUUAACAAGCAAUUGUAAUACCAAAUAUAUAUAUAAAUGCUACAAGUAGGAUACAGUGGUAUCUUUGUUGUUCUGUAUUUAUAUGUUCACAUGUACACAGGCAUGAAAGGUAGUGACGGUUUGCUUAAGAGGGAGGCUUUUCCUUUGGCAGGGCUGCUCCAGCUUGUGCUUCCUGAAAACCUGUUCAAGAGAGAAUGUGUCAUAAGGAAGUAUACUAAGACUCCUCUUGCUCCUCCACCUCUUCCUUUUCUUCUUCCUCUUCUUGCUUUCCUUCUUCUUCCUUUUCUUCUCCCUCUUCAUGCUUUUCUUCUUCCCCUGUUGCUGCAUCUUCUUCCUUGUUUUCCUGCUGAUCUUCUGAUGGUGACUGAGCCUCUUCAUGGGCCCCUUCAUCUGCACUGUGUUCUGUGUGUGCCUCAGUUUCACCAGCGGUAUCAGACUUUUCAGUCUCCUUUGUGCCUGGAGGAGGAGCAAGACCCAGGAAUGAAUAAAUAAUAUUUUCUUCUUUAGCAGAGAAAAAGGAUUCAAAGUCCCCACAAUACCGCUCCUCAUUGAAGAUCUGUGGAGGAAGAGGAAUUCCAUUUUGAGGCUUUUUUUCUCCAGGAACAUUCUCUCUCAUCCAUUUCCUGUUGUCCUCAUCACCUGCUAUGUCCAUUUGCUGAAAGUCAAUCUUGUUGGCCUCUAAAAAGCCCACUACCUCUUGCUGUUUCUUUUUGAUCGCUGUAGACCCCGAGGAUGUGGCUACAAAGACUUUGAUCACCAUUUUGACAGUGAUGAAAAUGAAUCAGCAGAGCACGCCUGCUAUCCACAAGUCAACAAAGUCCCAAGAGGAAUCCCAGCCUUCAGCAGGACUUAGAUCCUAAAUGGGUGCACCCCACAGC